rnacentral:rRNA from 1 species
GUGGGGAAUAUUGGACAAUGGGCGCAAGCCUGAUCCAGCAAUGCCGCGUGGGUGAAGAAGGUCUUCGGAUCGUAAAGCCCUUUCGACAGGGACGAUGAUGACGGUACCUGUAGAAGAAGCCCCGGCUAACUUCGUGCCAGCAGCCGCGGUAAUAUGAAGGGGGCUAGCGUUACUCGGAAUUACUGGGCGUAAAGGGCGCGUAGGCGGCUCUGUUAGUCAGGCGUGAAAUUCCUGGGCUUAACCUGGGGACUGCGCUUGAUACUGCAGGGCUUGAGGCCGAGAGAGGGUGGUGGAAUUCCCAGUGUAGAGGUGAAAUUCGUAGAUAUUGGGAAGAACACCGGUGGCGAAGGCGACCACCUGGCUCGGUUCUGACGCUGAGGCGCGACAGCGUGGGGAGCAAACAGGAUUAGAUACCCCUGUAGUCC